GUUUCAUUUGUACAAUUUAGUGGUUCAUCACUUACAUAUAAUACCCAGUGCUCAUGCCAACAAGUGCCUUCCUUAAUGCCUAUCACCAAUUUACCCCAUUGCCCUACCCACCUCCUCU